GCCUCGUUAGCGCAGUAGGUGGUGCGUCAGUCUCAUGAUCUGAAGGUCGUGAGUUUGAUCCUCACAUGGGGCA
rfam:Lepisosteus oculatus unplaced genomic scaffold TNK103, whole genome shotgun sequence.